rnacentral:rRNA from 1 species
ACUCCUGCGGGAGGCAGCAGUGGGGAAUAUUGCACAAUGGGCGCAAGCCUGAUGCAGCCAUGCCGCGUGUAUGAAGAAGGCCUUCGGGUUGUAAAGUACUUUCAGCGGGGAGGAAGGCGAUAAGGUUAAUAACCUUGUCGAUUGACGUUACCCGCAGAAGAAGCACCGGCUAACUCCGUGCCAGCAGCCGCGGUAAUACGGAGGGUGCAAGCGUUAAUCGGAAUUACUGGGCGUAAAGCGCACGCAGGCGGUCUGUCAAGUCGGAUGUGAAAUCCCCGGGCUCAACCUGGGAACUGCAUUCGAAACUGGCAGGCUAGAGUCUUGUAGAGGGGGGUAGAAUUCCAGGUGUAGCGGUGAAAUGCGUAGAGAUCUGGAGGAAUACCGGUGGCGAAGGCGGCCCCCUGGACAAAGACUGACGCUCAGGUGCGAAAGCGUGGGGAGCAAACAGGAUUAGAAACCCCAGUAGUCCC